rnacentral:rRNA from 1 species
GAAGUUGGAACCCGCUAAGGAGUGUGUAACAACUCACCUGCCAAAGCAAGUAGCCCUGAAAAUGGAUGGCGCUGUAGCGUCGUGCCUAUACUCCGCCGUCAACGGCAGAGCUGGCAGCCCCCCAGGGGGCGUCGCCGUUAAGCCUUGACGAGUAAGAGGGUCGCGGCGGUGUGCGCGGAAGGGUCUGGGCGUGAGCCCACCUGGAGCCGCCGCCGGUGCAGAUCUUGGUGGUAGUAG